GCACGGCUGAAGAGUUCCACAAUAGGACGAAACGGCAUUCCAGUGC
rnacentral:hammerhead_ribozyme from 1 species